rnacentral:rRNA from 1 species
AUUGAACGCUGGCGGCAGGCUUAACACAUGCAAGUCGAACGGUAACAUAAAGAAGCUUGCUUCUUUGAUGAUGAGUGGCGGACGGGUGAGUAAUGCUUGGGAAUCUAGCUUAUGGAGGGGGAUAACUACGGGAAACUGUAGCUAAUACCGCGUAAUAUCGAAAGAUUAAAGUGUGGGACCUUCGGGCCACAUGCCAUAGGAUGAGCCCAAGUGGGAUUAGGUAGUUGGUGAGGUAAAGGCUCACCAAGCCGACGAUCUCUAGCUGGUCUGAGAGGAUGACCAGCCACACUGGGACUGAGACACGGCCCAGACUCCUACGGGAGGCAGCAGUGGGGAAUAUUGGACAAUGGACCAAAAGUCUGAUCCAGCAAUUCUGUGUGCACGAUGACGUUUUUCGGAAUGUAAAGUGCUUUCAGUUGGGAAGAAAAAAAUGACGGUACCAACAGAAGAAGUGACGGCUAAAUACGUGCCAGCAGCCGCGGUAAUACGUAUGUCACAAGCGUUAUCCGGAUUUAUUGGGCGUAAAGCGCGUCUAGGUGGUUAUGUAAGUCUGAUGUGAAAAUGCAGGGCUCAACUCUGUAUUGCGUUGGAAACUGCAUGACUAGAGUACUGGAGAGGUAAGCGGAACUACAAGUGUAGAGGUGAAAUUCGUAGAUAUUUGUAGGAAUGCCGAUGGGGAAGCCAGCUUACUGGACAGAUACUGACGCUAAAGCGCGAAAGCGUGGGUAGCAAACAGG